UUUAAAAUAGGCUGUGUGAAUUUUCUAUUCUGUUCUAACAUCCGAAUCUAAUUCCCUUUCGGAUGAAAUAUUUACUAUGUUGAUCUGUUUCUUUUUCUAUUUUUAGAUUGGCUGUUCCUACUCUCCGGCGGAAGAUUCAGAUUAUGGUACGCAGAGAAAGAAUGUUGUGUGGGUAAAAGGAUGACCUAAGAAACAAGGAUUCAUCAGACACACAGGCCUUGUUUCUUUACCGCUUUCUACUCUGGUCACCUUAAGAAGAAACAAAGACAAGAUAAA